rnacentral:rRNA from 1 species
GACGAACGCUGGCGGCGUGCCUAAUACAUGCAAGUCGAGCGAAGUUUUUCUGGUGCUUGCACUAGAAAAACUUAGCGGCGAACGGGUGAGUAACACGUAAAGAACCUGCCUCAUAGACUGGGACAACUAUUGGAAACGAUAGCUAAUACCGGAUAACAGUAUUUCUCGCAUGAGAGAUAUUUAAAAGUUGGUUAUGCUAACACUAUGAGAUGGCUUUGCGGUGCAUUAGCUAGUUGGUGGGGUAAAGGCCCACCAAGGCGACGAUGCAUAGCCGACCUGAGAGGGUGAUCGGCCACACUGGGACUGAGACACGGCCCAGACUCCUACGGGAGGCAGCAGUAGGGAAUCUUCCGCAAUGGGCGAAAGCCUGACGGAGCAACGCCGCGUGAGUGAAGAAGGAUUUCGGUUCGUAAAGCUCUGUUGUUAGGGAAGAAUGGAUAUGUAGUAACUAUACAUGUAAGAGACGGUACCUAACCAGAAAGCCACGGCUAACUACGUGCCAGCAGCCGCGGUAAUACGUAGGUGGCAAGCGUUGUCCGGAAUUAUUGGGCGUAAAGCGCGCGCAGGUGGUUUAAUAAGUCUGAUGUGAAAGCCCACGGCUCAACCGUGGAGGGUCAUUGGAAACUGUUAAACUUGAGUGCAGGAGAGAAAAGUGGAAUUCCUAGUGUAGCGGUGAAAUGCGUAGAGAUUAGGAGGAACACCAGUGGCGAAGGCGGCUUUUUGGCCUGUAACUGACACUGAGGCGCGAAAGCGUGGGGAGCAAACAGG